AGAAGGAAAGAAAGGAAGGAAGGAAGGGAGGAAGCCGCAAAUGUUCCUGCAAACGAAUGCCAUUUCUCGAGGGCGGCAUUUUCUACAACCUACAUGAAUCAAGAUUCCGCCAUUAUAAGAAUUCCGCCGCCACGGCCGGAAUCGAACCGGUGACCUCGAGCUCAGCUCCACAACGGCAACAGCCACUGAACUGCAACGGCGUGUCACGAGGAUGGCUUGACGGCGACGAUGGUUGCAAGACGGCGACGACGACGGUAUCCUGACGACGGCGGAUCGACGGCUACGUAUACGAUGGCUCCGGUGAAGACACGUUACAACCUCUAUCGUUACAACGUAUAAGCCGACACUGAACAAUACCGGAGACAGCGCAAGGCCACAUAGCGGCUCAAAGUGCUAGCUGCACGGGGAAAGUAGACUGCAUGCCUUUGCUUUUCAUUAAAAUGCCUAAGUGCUGUCACAAAGGAAA